GACGAACGCUGGCGGCGUGCUUAACACAUGCAAGUCGAACGGAAAGGCCCUGCUUUUGUGGGGUGCUCGAGUGGCGAACGGGUGAGUAACACGUGAGUAACCUGCCCUUGACUUUGGGAUAACUUCAGGAAACUGGGGCUCAUACCGGAUAGGAGCUCCUGCUGCAUGGUGGGGGUUGGAAAGUUUCGGCGGUUGGGGAUGGACUCGCGGCUUAUCAGCUUGUUGGUGGGGUAGUGGCUUACCAAGGCUUUGACGGGUAGCCGGCCUGAGAGGGUGACCGGCCACAUUGGGACUGAGGUACGGCCCAGACUCCUACGGGAGGCAGCAGUGGGGAAUAUUGCACAAUGGGCGGAAGCCUGAUGCAGCGACGCCGCGUGCGGGAUGACGGCCUUCGGGUUGUGAACCGCUUUCGCCUGUGACGAAGCGUGAGUGACGGUAAUGGGUAAAGAAGCACCGGCUAACUACGUG
rnacentral:rRNA from 1 species